GUCCACGCUGUAAACGAUGUGCACUAGGCGUGGGGCCCGUACGGGUUCUGUGCCGUAGUUAACGUGAUAAGUGCACCGCCUGGGGAGUAUGCUCGCAAGGGUGAAACUCAAAGGAAUUGACGGGGGCCCGCACAAGCGGUGGAGCAUGUGGUUUAAUUCGAUGGUACACGAGGAACCUUACCAGGGCUUGACAUGUGCGUGAAUGUUCACGAGAGUGGGCAGCCCCGCAAGGGGCGCGCACACAGGUGCUGCAUGGCUGUCGU
rnacentral:rRNA from 1 species